rnacentral:rRNA from 1 species
AACGAACGCUGGCGGCAUGCCUAACACAUGCAAGUCGAACGAGACCUUCUGGUCUAGUGGCGCACGGGUGCGUAACGCGUGGGAACCUGCCCUUAGGUUCGGAAUAACUUCCCGAAUGGGGUGCUAAUACCGGAUAAUGUCUUCGGCCCAAUGAUUGAUCGCCAUUGGUUGGGGGCGCGUUGGAUUAGCUAGUUGGUAGUGUAAAAGCCUACCAAGGCUACGAUCCAUAGCUGGGCUGAGAGGAUGAUCAGCCACACUGGGACUGAGACACGGCCCAGACUGCUACGGGAGGCAGCAGUGGGGUAUACUGGGCGAUGGGCGCAAGCGUGAUGCAGCAAUGCCGCGUGAGUGAUCAAGGCGUUAGGGUUGUAAAGCCCUUUUGCCCGGGAUGAUAAUGACAGUACCGGGAGAAUAAGCUCCGGCUAACUACGUG